GCCUGGCUUGUUCAGUCGGUAGAACAUGCGACUCUUGAUCCCUGGGGUCGUGAGUUCGAGCCCCAUGUGUGGCA
rnacentral:tRNA from 1 species